UAACGCGUGGGUAACCUGCCCCAUACCGGGGGAUAACGGUUAGAAAUGACCGCUAAUACCGCGUAAGCGCGCGAGGCCGCAUGGCCGCGCGCGAAAAACUCCGGUGGUAUGGGAUGGGCCCGCGUCUGAUUAGGUAGUUGGCGGGGUAAGGGCCCACCAAGCCGACGAUCAGUAGCCGACCUGAAAGGGUGGCCGGCCACAUUGGGACUGAGACACGGCCCAAACUCCUACGGGAGGCAGCAGUGGGGAAUAUUGCGCAAUGGGGGAAACCCUGACGCAGCAACGCCGCGUGAGUGAAGAAGUAUCUCGGUAUGUAAAGCUCUAUCAGCGGGGAAGAAGGAAGACGGUACCCGACUAAGAAGCCCCGGCUAACUACGUGCCAGCAGCCGCGGUAAUACGUAGGGGGCGAGCGUUAUCCGGAUUUACUGGGUGUAAAGGGAGCGUAGACGGCGUCGCAAGUCUGGAGUGAAAUGCAGGGGCUCAACCCCUGAACUGCUUUGGAAACUGUAUGACUGGAGUGCAGGAGAGGUAAGUGGAAUUCCUAGUGUAGCGGUGAAAUGCGUAGAUAUUAGGAGGAACACCAGUGGCGAAGGCGGCUUACUGGACUGUAACUGACGUUGAGGCUCGAAAGCGUGGGGAGCAAACAGGAUUAGAUACCCUGGUAGUCCACGCCGUAAACGAUGAUCACUAGGUGU
rnacentral:rRNA from 1 species